CUCUUCCGUUCCCUCACUUUUCUCAUUCUACACAGCUUGGCGGAGGCGACGCAUGGCGGACGAUGCUGAGGGUUAGGGGUUCCGUGUAGCAGAGAGCCGGUCCGGCGACCCUGCCUCUCGGGAAAGCGGACCAGCCCGACGACACCCCUUGCCCAUCCAGGGGUGGGGCUCGGCGCCGGUGCCGGCGGAGGGCUGGCGGAGAGGCGAGGAUUAGCUCUGAACUGGGGGUGUGCCUCACCGCUGGUUGGGCGGCACGGCGGCAUUCGGCGGCCGCACCAGACAGCCUGACGCUCCCAUCCUCUUCUUCUUGUGUGUUCCGCACCUCGGUUCGUGUACAUUAUCAGUGUGCUGUGUUUGGAUCGAUGCCUGAUGUUUGUGUCCUAUGCAUCUCAUCGUGUGCAUCCGUCCGUUGCUCCUCUGUUUAGGCUGCGAACUACUGCUCGCUGUUGGUCGCCACAUUGCUUCAUAAAGUUCAGUACUUUCCUCCUUAAUCUUUGAUUUGUUGGUGUGGGUGCUUCGAUGUAUGCUUGACUUUUCCCUCCUCUGCAUGUCCGCCGGUGCCCGUCGGUCAUUACAGUGCCUAUGCUCCACCUCCCUCUCAAGCGUGCUUACAGGUUUGUGGUUGCCCUCCUGUAUCCUCUCUGUCUGUCUUUCGUCCUACCUACACCUGUGUGUACGCUUAAAAUGAAAUGCGGGUUCAGUCUGAUAGGAUGGGGAUGGCCAGAUGCUUGCAAGUUCAACUGUAGUGCUGGGUUUUGUGUACCCAAUUUCCUCGCAGCCCUAUUUGGGUUCGUUCAUACAGAGAUGUGUACUCUGGCUAAUAAUUUUUGUAUGAUGACUCUAUUAGUUCCUCUAUAGUAUGUUAGGCUGAUAUGUUGCCCAUAUCUGACUUCCUGCUUGGCCUGAGAUUCUCAAAAUCGUUCCCUUUAUGAA